rnacentral:ncRNA from 1 species
AUGAAUACAAGGGGAGAGUUUACAUAGAUGGCUUGUUUUUAAAGUGUUAAACUAUGUAACGCCGAAGGAGCAAGUGAAAGCGAAUCUCUCAGGCAAACAGACUCUUGUAGGACG